ensembl:lncRNA
AUGCCAUCACACGCUCGCGCAAACACUGACCUUCGUCAGCCUCAUCCUGCCACUCUCGCUCCUCUCCAGACUCCUUCUCUUCAGGGACGAGCUUCUGACCACUGCCACCGGUCGCACCUCGUGCUCCCCGCACCAGUCCGUACUCAGGACGCAGCCCAUGUGGAUGGUCGGGGGUCCCGGACUCCGUACCCUUUCUUUUUCUCCUCCUCCUCUCGGUCUUCGAAGCUGGCUCCAGCUCCGCGGCAGCUGUUUUUGUCAGCUGGAGAGGAGGAGAAGAAGGUCCGUCCCCCUUUUCCUGGCUCGUGUUCAGCCCUGCUGCAGGGACCCGGGGACGGACACACGCUCUCGGUCACCCACCCCCUUCUCUUUUUCUACACACACUUUGAAAAACACACUUUCCAACUGCGUCAUGCUACAGUCACAUGUGGACUCGUCCUUUUUUCUGGGUCCAUCCACCCCUCCUUCUCUCCAGGCGCUUGCUUUGUUUCACACACACUUCAUUUCCCUACUUUGCUCUUUCUCUCUCUCUACUUAGAACUCCCCCCUGGACGGAGGCUCGUGACCCUCGACUCGACAAUGUCAACCCUCGAGAAUCCCGGGUCGCUUUCCUUCCCCUUCUCCGACUUUGUCCUGUUCUCUCCCUUUCCUGUUGCUCCUCUGCCUCUCUCCCAGCCCUCCCAUCCCGGUAACACGCCUUUCCUCCUCUCUCUCUCUCUCUCUCUCUCUCCUUCUCCUCCCUCUCCUACCUCUCCACUGGGGUUGCCUCACUCUUACAUAUACAAUUACCUCUCUGUUCUCACCCCCCACCCACCUCUCCUCCUCAGCGGUUUCCUGUCCCCUCCGUUCCCGCCCCCCACCAGAUCCAGGCAGCGUCUCCUUAUAGCUUGGCCAACACAUUGUUGGUAUUGUCCAGAAAAACAAAUGGAGACAAACCAAACAGUGGGGGCAGCUGUUGGGAUGCUGGGGAGACCAGUGAUUCAGAGCGAGCUGAGUCCUUCGCUGGCCCGAGCUCCGCCAUUGUUUACAAUACAGCGGGCACGAUGA